CGCAGUAGGAUAGGCGAAGCGUGCGAUUGGAUUGCACGUCUAAGCAGUAAGGCUGAGUAUUAGGCAAAUCCGGUACUCGUUAAGGCUGAGCUGUGAUGGGGAGAAGACAUUGUGUCUUCGAGUCGUUGAUUUCACACUGCCGAGAAAAGCCUCUAGAUAGAAAAUAGGUGCCCGUACCGCAAACCGACACAGGUAGUCAAGAUGAGAAUUCUAAGGUGAGCGAGCGAACUCUCGUUAAGGAACUCGGCAAAAUGACCCCGUAACUUCG
rnacentral:rRNA from 1 species